rnacentral:rRNA from 1 species
UACGGAGGGGGCUAGCGUUGUUCGGAAUUACUGGGCGUAAAGCGCACGUAGGCGGCUUUGUAAGUUAGAGGUGAAAAGCCCGGGGCUCAACCCCGGAAUAGCCUUUAAGACUGCAUCGCUUGAAUCCAGGAGAGGUGAGUGGAAUUCCGAGUGUAGAGGUGAAAUUCGUAGAUAUUCGGAAGAACACCAGUGGCGAAGGCGGCUCACUGGACUGGUAUUGACGCUGAGGUGCGAAAGCGUGGGGAGCAAACAGG